rnacentral:rRNA from 1 species
GUGAGGAAUAUUGGACAAUGGGCGCAAGCCUGAUCCAGCCAUGCCGCGUGCAGGAAGACGCAUCUAUGGUGUGUAAACUGCUUUUGUACGGGAAGAAACACUCCCUCGUGAGGGAGCUUGACGGUACCGUAAGAAUAAGGAUCGGCUAACUCUGUGCCAGCAGCCGCGGUAAUACGGAGGAUCCAAGCGUUAUCCGGAAUCAUUGGGUUUAAAGGGUCCGUAGGCGGUUUAAUAAGUCAGUGGUGAAAGCCCAUCGCUCAACGAUGGAACGGCCAUUGAUACUGUUAGACUUGAAUUACAAGGAAGUAACUAGAAUAUGUAGUGUAGCGGUGAAAUGCUUAGAUAUUACAUGGAAUACCAAUUGCGAAGGCAGGUUACUACUUGUGGAUUGACGCUGAUGGACGAAAGCGUGGGGAGCGAACAGGAUUAGAUACCCUAGUAGUCC